GAUGAACGCUGGCGGCGUGCCUAAUACAUGCAAGUCGAGCGAACAGACGAGGAGCUUGCUCCUCUGACGUUAGCGGCGGACGGGUGAGUAACACGUGGAUAACCUACCUAUAAGACUGGGAUAACUUCGGGAAACCGGAGCUAAUACCGGAUAAUAUAUUGAACCGCAUGGUUCAAUAGUGAAAGACGGUUUUGCUGUCACUUAUAGAUGGAUCCGCGCCGCAUUAGCUAGUUGGUAAGGUAACGGCUUACCAAGGCAACGAUGCGUAGCCGACCUGAGAGGGUGAUCGGCCACACUGGAGCUGAGACACGGUCCAGACUCCUACGGGAGGCAGCAGUAGGGAAUCUUCCGCAAUGGGCGAAAGCCUGACGGAGCAACGCCGCGUGAGUGAUGAAGGUCUUCGGAUCGUAAAACUCUGUUAUUAGGGAAGGACAAAUGUGUAAGUAACUAUGCACGUCUUGACGGUACCUAAUCAGAAAGCCACGGCUAACUACGUG
rnacentral:rRNA from 1 species